GUUCUUUAGUCACAGAUAAAAUAAUUUUGUUUCCAUUGUUAGGUUAUCAAGAAAAUUGGACAUUAUCUCAAGAUGAAUAUAACAGUGCCAGAGGAUUACAUCAAAGGAUUUAUUCGAGCCAACAAUACUUUCCUUUAUCAACUAGUUUUUGAUCCCAUCAAAAGGAAACUUGUCCCUCUGAAUGCCUACGAAGAUGACAUUGAUCCUGAAACACUAAGUUAUGCUGGACAGUAUGUUGAUGACUCUGUAGCUCUUCAAAUAGCACUUGGAAAUAAAGAUAUAAAUACUUUUGAACAGAUCGACAACUACAAUCCAGACACUGCUAUGUCUGACCUAUCAAGAAGUCAUAGUUGGAACAACAAAACUUGUCAAAAGUCUUCUACUGUUAAUAGCAUCUGGCAUAGGAAUUAUUGCCCUAGACUUGAGUUGGAUAAUGUUUCAGGUGCUACACAAUUGAAGGAAAAUCCAAGUACUGUGGGCAUUAAACAAGUGAUUAGUACUAAAGGAUUAAAUCUUUCAAGGAAAUCAUCCAUGGUGAAAAGACCAAGAAAUGGUAUGUAUUUAGUUUUUCAU
rnacentral:lncRNA from 1 species